CCGAGAGCUGGUCCUGCCUAGGCUCCCCAGUUAGUUUAGGGCAGUAUCCUGGGUUUCGUGAUGACACAACUGGGCCCCGGGGCCCUCAGGCGUCCGGACUGAAAAGUCUUUUUGGCCAUGAGACUGCGUAGGGGGGGCGCAAAUAUAUUCUCUUUUCCUCCCCCACGCUUGCAGAAAAAGAGCGGAGAAAGAAAUAAUGUGGGCGUCACCAGGCUCCCAAGGGAUUCCGGAACCUGGACGAAGACUGUGAUUUACUGGAGGUCCUCUGGAGGACAGGAGAAAAGUGCCACAGGCAGAAAAGAGAAGCAGCCCCGGGCGUCUCUAGCCACGCCCCUCUCAUCUAGACAAACUCCUGCUGUCCACAGAUAUUUAACCCGCCCAGUUUAACCUAGCAACCAAGGCCUGGGAAAGCACCUUCUUUGUCUCGUGGAUUCAGGCUUCUGCUCAGUAAACGGAGCGAGGAAGGGAAUCGCUGGGUCUCAGGCCCAAGACAUCCCGAAGUGUGGCCGAGGUGGGGGCGAGGCGGGGCGCAAUGUGCCGGCAUCACUUGGCAACACAGGCCAGGCUGAUGCGGAACCCGCAGCACAUGAGGAGGAGUGAAGACUCUGCCUUACCUGGAGCCAUCCAAGGCUCAGCUUUGCCUGCAUCUCCAGCUCCGGGCCCUUUCCUGGUCUCUGGGGCUCAGUCUGUCCUGUUCACCACCUCAGCUUAGGGAGAUGAGAGCCUAGAGAGAAACCUCUGCAUCCUCAGGAUCGGGUCUGCUCUGGUUCCAACAGUUACUGUUGACUGCAGAGAAACAAGGGCCAGAAAGAGAGAGAGAAACACGGCUGAGGCCAGAGCAUGCAUUUGCCUUCCAGGAGAGACACCAGAAUGCGAGGACCCUGGUAGAGCUGGGGCCUGACACAAGCCUGGGCCCAGCCGGUACACGUGGAUUCCAUAUAAAACAGGUUCUAGGAACUGUGCUGAGCCCUGAGGAUACAAGGAAGGACAAAAGCAGUCUGGGCGGUCCUGGAGCUCCCAAUCUAGUCACCCAACAUGGAGAUGGUUUAAAAAGAAUUGAGAUACUGACUGUGACUGAGAUGAUCCAGGGAGAUGAGUGUUGGGGAAUGGAAAUGAAUUUGAUUCAACAGGGAAAUCAGGAAAUAGAGGAAUGAAGAUGUUUAGGCACUCAAAGGAAAAAAUAAAAGUCUAAAGAAAAGUGAAAGCCACUAUUUGCAUAUGACACCUACCAUGUCAUGUCAUGCACUUUAUAACUAUUAUCUCAUAUAAUCCUCAUAGUGAAGUGGGGCACUUCAUAUAAUGAGUCCAGACUCCCAGAAGUUCAAUUUAAUGGAACCUGUAUUUAUUAAUCUAUUGAAUAAUAAAUGAAUCUACUGGCCAGGGCAAUCUUUCCUGGUGAAAGAUACACUGAACUGAAGUUAUAGACAAUUUUCAUAGGAUUAGAGACGUUCAGGAUACAAGGUACAUACUUUUCCAUAUGGGUUUCUUGGCAAAAGCAAGCAAGCCUAGAAGCAGAUAUGCCAUUGUUGUUAAGUGCAGAAUGUUCAGUACAGUCCAUUGCCAUCAGGGAGUUAUUUCCUCACAUACAUUUAACCAUAUGUUAUUUUGGAUUCCAGCCUGACUUUUUCAUGGGAAUGCAGGUUUCUUGGGAAUGCAAUUUUCUGAUUAAUAAAUUAAUCGACUUCAAUAAGAGCCCUAGGAGUUACUUGACACUGUUAUGUCCAUGUUACAGUUGAGGAGACUGAGACAGACAGAGCUCCUAUGAAUUGCCCAGAUACUUCAUGUGUGACCUUGAGGUAAUCGCUUCAACACUUUGCCUCAGUUUCCUUACCUGUCAAAAGGGCAGGCUAAAAGUAACUACUAUACAGGAUAUUUGUAUUAAAAAAGUUUAAUAAUAUUUGUUAGAGCUCUUAGCACAGUGGUAAAUACCCAAUAGAUAUUAUGAAAAUACGUAUUCCCUCCCAUUCACCUUACUCCACUCAGAUUAAGUCUUUUCUAGAUUAUAAAGUUGAGUUUUAAGAACAAGAGAUUUAUUAGGAGUUUGAUAGCUGAAGAUUGUCUGGAGGAGGGAAAUCAUGAGAGUCAACUAUGUCCAUAAGGAUGUGGCAUUUAAAGAUCAAUAGAAAUAUUCUGGAUCAUUGAGGCUAGAGUGUAGAACAUGGAGAUCUUUAUUUUGUUGAAAGGUUGGCAUGGAAGAGAGGGAGAGACUAUUUGGUCUCAGUGAGCAGAACUAGGAGCAAUGAGGAGAGCCUACAGAGUCUAAGGAUAUGAACUCAAAGAAUACUCUUGGCAAUUAUUCUUCUCCAACAUAUGGAAGGGCUACCUCAGGAUGUAGUUGAUUGCUUCUUAUUGGAGAAUUUUAUCCAAUGUGAGAUAAGCACUUCUUUAUUGAAAUGAGAAGAUUGCUUUUUCUGUUAUAGGUUGGACUGAGGGGACACACUUAUUUGCCUUUCAGUUCUAAGAUUCUAUAAUCCUGUCAUGUUGGCAUAUCCUAAGUACCCAACCUUCUCUGAUGACAGGAGGAGCUCUCACUUUAGUCUGAGGCUUAGUCUCCUAUAUGAACCCAUAUAUAAUCAGAGGUCUUGGAUAGUUCAGAGUCUCUAUUCCCCAACCCCUUAAGGACUCAGUUUUUGUUUUUUGUUUUUUUGUUUUUGUCUCCAGGUAACAUUGAGUGAUGGCACAUCAUAAUGAAAGGUUGGGAGAAUAAAGGCAGGCAAAACAGAGAGGGAGUAAUCCUUGGGAUAGGAGGUAUUUCCUUUUCCCCUUAGAGUUGAGAUGAUGGCAGGGGUUGGAGUUGUCAGGAAGAAAGUGCUGACCCAGAUUUCCACUGAUCCCACACAUCCCUGGGCACACAAAUAUGGAGAAUCAGACACAGAGUGAAUAAAUAUAGCUAAAGCAUGGAGAGACACACAGGUAAGAAAUGUGGGAAAAUUGCCCAAACCCACAGGGGGACCCACGCUCUGAGUCUCCAAGAGAGUCCUUGUCUUCUUGUGAUCUCAUGGCCCCAUUCUCCCCAGAUCUGCUCCCAUACUGGUCCCUCUUGGUGCUAGUUCCCACCAUGCAUGGUGGCUUUGGUUGGAUGUGUGGGAGCUAUAUGUAGUGUUUGCCAGGUGUGUGGAUCUGGCAUGGAGUGCUGGCUGUAUGUUGUUGCCUGCUGCUCUGGAGUGGUAAUUGUUCUGUGUCUCUCCAUUGGUCCUGUGGUUCUGCUGAUCAGAACUCACCCACCACUAGCUCCAUAGUUUCAGACAAUUGUACUGUAUUUCCCCCAGAAUCAGGGGUAGAGAGACCUAUCUGUAAAGUAUUGUUACUUAGCUGUUCAUAGAAGCUGGAUUCAUCUUGGCUUUAGAUUUUAGCAGGGACUUCUUUUUUCUAAAAGAAGCCAAAAAGAGGAAAUUCAGAUACCAAAGAGCACCAGUCAGGAUCACACAAGACCUGGCAGUUUCCAAACUAAAAGACCGCAAGGCCUGGAACAUGAUAUUCAGAAAGGCAAGAGAACUGGAUAUUCAACCAAGAAUCACCUAUCCAUCAAAACUGACCAUAUACUUCCAGGGGAAAGUAUGGGCAUUGAACAAAUUAGAAGAUUUCCAAGUAUUUGUAAAGAAAAGACCAGAACUAAGUGGAAAGUUUGAUAUCCAAACACAAAUAUCAAGUGAAACAUGAAAAGGUAAAUAUGAAAGAGUGGGAAAAGGGGAAAAUUUUUUUUUAUUCAAACUCUCUUCUUUAAGGGCUACAAUUAGGUCAAAUUAUAUAUAUUAAUAAAUGGGGAAAAUGUUAUUUGUAACUCUCAAAAA